GAAAUAAUCUGCAUUGUUAAUAAGCAUAUGGACAGUCAUUUGGAGAAAACCGAUGUCUAGAUAUGUUGUCCACGUAUAUGCAGACAACCUUCAUAAUUUGCUUUCAUGUAGCACUUUUUGACAAUAAAUAGUAAUAUUUUGCUCAAAGAAGGGAAUCCUAAGGUAGGAAUAAAUGAAAAAUGUGAUGUGCUCCCCAAUAUACUAUAUAUAUCACACAGAGAAUGAGGAAAAAUGGAUAAUAGUAUCUGAUUCCUGCUGUGGUUAGGACAUGUAUAACUUUUUUCGCUUAGACAUUCACUGUUUCAUUGUAGACAGAAGCAGAACAGCUUGAAUAUGCUUCAGGUCCUGGUAAGUUCUUUCCAGGAUCACUUCUCUUCCAUGAGAAAAGUGUUUUCACACAGAUUAAGGCCUAUGUGUUUUCCUGAAGUAACUUUUUGCUUUUGUCACAUUCCCAAUGAGAUAAAACUUCUCUUAAAUGGUGAAAGACUUCCUUUAAUAAGUCAAGUAAAAUGCAACAGGCACCAACACUUUCACCAGCAAAACCUGACCUGAAAACUGAUACUAGACUAAAUGAGCUACCAAAUCAGAGAAGACUUCUUGCAAUUUUGGAAUCAAAUCCGAAAGACCCGCAGGAAACGCUGGCUUUGGCAGCUAGCCAAGCAGGCAGCACUAAUGGUAAGUACACAGCUGAAGUCUGAUACUGUAUUAUUUAUUCACUAACAGUUUUGUGUGUCUGUAGAGUAGAAUCACUGAGACAUGCAUAUCUUUCAGGUUUAACAGUACAGGACUAGCUUUUUAUAAUCAUGGAAAUUAUUUUAGCAAAUUUAAAUGUUUAGAAUUCCUUUGCUUGGGACUUAGGUAAAAAAAAGUAAGAAGGUGAAGGGAAUAUCUAUUAUUUGCAUAGGUGAAAAUGGUCAUUGACUGAAGUUCUGACACUGGGGAGCUGUACUUUAGUUUGACUGAGUGCUACUUAGGCAUUUUUAAAGACAAGAUAUUUGAAAUAACUCAUAAGUUAGGGGUAUAAUAGUUGAAUGUGCAUAAAAAUAUAUUUCUAAGCUAUGUCUGCAACACUAGAUCAUCACGAUAAUCGGAAAAUUCUAUCAAAGUUGUAAGUCUCAGCAGGCAGGAAUUACUUGCUUUUAUUCCUUCAGCUGUACAGAGAGCAUGUGUUACAUAACUGCAUUAUAUCUUAUGUGAUAAUACAUAACAGUUUACAGAAUGGUUUUGUCCUUCAGUUUACAUACUUUUAAAACAACUGUGAGUAAUUACCGUGUCUAAUAUUUAGUAUAAUGUAUUUACUGUGAAUAUGCAAAAGCAGUUUUUCAACAAUCAACACCGUAGCUUAAAAUCUUCUAUUAUAAGAGCUUGUAAAACUUUACAUUGAAUACUCUAUUAUUUUCUAUAGAGAGGAAGGGAUAUGAGCUAAAAAUGGUUUUAGCUGCAAGUCUGGAAGUGAAAUUGAAAGACCUGCAGCAAGUGGAGACUUCUGUGGCAAAUCAGCUAAGCAUAUGUGGCUCAGAGGGUGAGGCCCUGUAUGUACAUUCAUUUAUAUGUAUAAAAAUUCUGGCUUUGGUAGAUAGUCCUAGGAUGGAUGCCUAAAUAUCUACUUUUAAAAUGAAAAUAUUAUUAUAAUUUGUGUCUGAUUUGAAAUGUGUUAGAUGAUUAUGUUUCUUAGUCAUAGAAGAAGCAUGAGCUAAUAUUCUGAACUGAUCUACACACUAUAGAAGAUAAUUAGACUCAAGAGUCUUCUGCCCUAUCAAGAUAGGAAAACAAAUCAGGAGACUGUAAAUUCUUUUUUGAUAGAUCCCUCAAUCUUUUUCUUCCCAAUUCAGUACUUAAUUAAUAAACCUGAAAUACAAUAGUUAAUGAUCCAAAUAUGUAUUUAAGUAAUUUUAACAUUAAUCAAAUUUACCAUAAAGUUCAUAAUUAGGUUUUAAAAUUUGAUUUUGGGAUGUUGCAGCCAAGUUCCUUGAAGAUCUGUGUUCUAAAGCACAGAAGGCAGAGCUAAUUUAGGUAGCCUUUUCUUCUGUGUUCCUUUUGCUGUAGCCAUUGCUGUGUUAUGCUCUUGUGGUUCUACUGAAGCUGCAGAAUAUUGCUUGUGGGCUGUAUUCGUCUUCUCUAUUCAGCUGCAGCUAUCUUGUUUUUACAAGCCUCCAAAAAAACCAGUGUUAUGGUUCAAGGUGUCAGCUGCAAUGUGUUUUAUAUUUAAGUACAAUUCUUAAUAACUACCUGCAUUGCUACGUGACUAGUGAAAUUGUAAUAUAUAAACUUACUACGGAAAUUUGAUGAUAAAAUAUUGUAGUUGUAAGAAACCAUUUUGGUAUAAAAUUGUGAUAGACUUAAAUUCUGAGAAUAUCUUUGGAAAUGAUUUAAACUUUGAAAGAUUUUCUGAGAGCAGGAAAAACUUGGUUCAGAAAGUUUUUUGUACUAAUUUCUAUCAGAUUUCCAGGUUUUAUUAAACUCUAAUGGAACUAAUGGAAUAUUUCAGAAAAUGGGAAAGAAAUAUUAAACUUGCAGAUUGAAAAUUUUGUACUACAAACGGCAUAGUUAGUGUCCUAGUCUGCAUAUGCAUUAGCUGAUUGAAGGGUGUCUCAUAAAGAUACUGAAUAAAUGAGCUUGAUCAAGGAGCUGUUUGGACAGUUAAUAUUAAUUUAUAGUAAUCCUUGAAACAGUGAGAAAUGUCCAGAAAGCUGUAAUGGAGCUAUUGUUGUGCUAGUGCUUUAAAAGGAUAUAUGGGAUACAUCAGCUUAACAUUGGAUAGAAUAAUUUAGCAGGGCAAUAUUAAUAGAAAACUAAGGGAAGGAAACAUCACUGAUGUCAUUCAUUAUUGGUUUAUGGAAGAUAACAUGCAAACUGACAUUCUUUUUUGAGUGGUGUUGAAGUUACUCUAUUUAUUAAUAGCAGUUAUGGGGUUGGCAUAGCUGAGAUCUACAAGUCACUAGAGUUUUGCAGAAAGAUGUUUUUGUCACAAAAUCAGAUAAAUAUGGAAUUAACUGUUCUGUCAAAUGUAUUCCAGCUGAAUACUUGUCAGCUUUGUGAUGUGUUCUUUACCAAUGUAAAAUGAAAACAGGUUGUUACCUUAAUUUUAAUUUUCUACCUCAAAAGGAAUUAAUUGAGGAAAUUCUGAUGGCCAGCGUUAUAUAGAAGAUUGAAUUCUGUGCAAAAGUCAGACCUUACCUACUUUGGCACUUAAGAUGUUUCAUGAAGAACUGAGGUGCCUAAGCCAAAGACAGCAGCUCAGCAGAAGCUGAAUGUGUUAAAUUACCUUGUUAUAGAGUAUCAUGCCUUCCUCGGUUUUCAACUGUCCAAAAGAUUUCUAGGUUUCUGACUGCACAGUGAUCCAGUUUCAAACAAGGAAUGGGGUCCAAUAAAACCCUGUUAUUUGUUGGUAUCCUUCAACUGCUGAACUGUGUUAUACUUGCCCACACACAGGGAGGGCUCUGUGCUCUGGAUCCUGUAUGGAUGAAGAUGCUACUGAAAGGCAAUAAUCGACAUAAAACUUUAUUUUUACUAUUUCUUAUUUGCUGACUGCAUAUAAUGCUUCAGACAGGAGCAUAAUCACAUUUUAGUUUGGGGAUUAAACUGAUUGGCACUUGGUUCAUUUCACUAAAACACCAGUUCUUAUAGAAAGUUACAUGUAUUUGGAUGCUUCCAAAUUAUAGGUGGUUUACAAAAUCCCAGGGUCUAUAAACUACAUCUAAAUGGCGAGAUUUUCUGUUCUGGCAAUCAAAUUCACAUGAAAGAACAGAAUAUGAAGGAGUGGACUGGCAGUGUUUUCCUAGUCAUGUACUAGUACUGCUAAGUGCGAGCAUAUUUUUUUCUGAUGUAUUAGACUAAAGUGAAGUGUCUCGUUCUGCCAGGUCUCUCCUGCAACAGCUCCCAGAACUCUUGACAUACACGGAUUUCCUAUUGCUGUUUGAGAGAUUUAUGGAAAAGCGGUCUAGGUUCUACAUCAGUGGAGAGUCCUGAAAUAAAAAGAAUUUGUUACUCCCUGUUCUGGGUGGAAUGAUGUUUUGCUGUGCCUGUUAGAGCAACACAAAGUAGCAGGCCAGACAAUCUUACUGAAAUAAGUCUUUUUUUUUGAAUCAGAUUUUGAAAUAGUAAUGUAAUUUACUUCUAAUUAUUGCUACAAAGUAUUUCUCUUGUGAUAGAAGAGAAAAUGCAGGAGGUAACAGAAGAAAGCUUUUGCUUACCAACUUGGAAUCAAACUGGAAAGGUCUGCAACAAGCUCAGGCACUUGCAGCUAGCCAAUUUUGUGGCAUGAAUAGUAAAUACAAAAAAAUUAUAAAGGUUUCUAACCUUUCUGGAUCCGAUUGAAGGUUUACAUAAUUCAGUGCCCUCUCUCCAUCUGUGUUCAAAAGCAGAUGUGUAGAGAAGAGUUUAUCAUUCUUCCCAGAAUAAUCUCCAAUUUCAAGCUAAGCCAUAGUUGCUAUGUUCUGUAGCUAAUAUCCCAUGAUGAAUUCUUUUUUGAAUUUAUCUAUUAGUUUUAAAUCCGUGGUAUCCACAGCAUGUCAAAGUAUUCCACAACUUAAUUGUGGGUUAUGGGAAGAAGUACCUUAUGUUUGUUUUGAGCAUGAAACUACCUUUGUCCGAUCACUCUGGUCUUCCCCUAUUCACUUUCUCCAUUGUCUCUCAUGACAGGUCACUAUGGUAUCCUCACUAAGUUGUCUUUUCCAGGCUGAAAACCCCUUUGUAUUUAAUCAUUCCCUGUACAGAAACUGGUAUGCAACUUUUGUUAUCUUUGUCAUCCUCCUCAGUGUCUUUUCCAGUUUUAUUGUAUCUUUGCUGAGAAGGCUGAGACUGAAGUGAUAUUCAAGAUUUAGUCACACCACUCUCUUUUUUUUUUUUUUUUUUUUUUGACAGUGUAUUCUGUUUUGCUUUUUACUCUUUUUCUAGUAAUCCCUAGUUAUUCUGUAUGUUUUGCUGAACUGUUCCUGAGCAUUAAGGUGAUGGUCUGUACGUUAUUUCCUGAGUAUACAACAGGUAGUUUGUCACAAACAGAACUUGUCACUGAAUAUAUACAGGUAUGGUUGAUUUUUACCGUUUCCCUUGGUUUAAAUGCAUGAAUGUGAUUUUCUGAGGGGAGAGCAGUGGAUGUUAUCUUGACUUUAGUAAGGCUUUUGACACUGUUUCCCGUAUCUUCAUUGCAGACAAGGUGAUGAAGUGUAUGUUUGAUAAUUGGACAGUGAGGUGGAUUGAAAACUGGCUGAAGGGCCAGGCUGAGAAGGUUGUGAUCAGCAGCACAACGUCUAGUUGGAGGCCAAUCACUGAUGGCGUAUCCCACGUUUGAUAUUGGGCCCUUUACAGUUUAACAUCUUCUAUAAUGACCUGGAUGAUGGGUCAGAGUGCAUCCUCAGCAAGUUUGCAGAUGAUACAAAACUGGCAGGAGCAGCUGGCACACCAUGUGGUCGUGCUGCAAUUCAGAGGGACCCAGGCAGACUGGCAACUGGGCAGAGAGGAGCCUCGUGACAUUCGGUGAAGUGCCAAGACCUGCACCUGGGGAGGGAUAACCCCAGGCAGCAGCACACACUGGGGUGCAACCAUCUGGAAAGCAGCUCUGCAGAGGAGGACCUUGUUGGUCCUGGUGGACAGCAAGCCAGCUAUGAGCCCCCAUGGCAAAGGCGGCUAAUGGUAUCCUGUACUGCGUUGCGAGGAGUGUGGCCAGCAGGUCAAAGACUCUGUCAAUGACAUCUCUCAAAUUAGAAAACUGUGUCCUCAGGAAGCAGAGAGCAAAAGAAAAAAACAGGCUGUGCUCAACAGAUGUAUUCUAAGCUGAUUCAUGAUCCCUUUUAUAGAGAAGAAUCAUCUAUGCUUUCAUCUGCAUGUUGACUCAUUCUUUGCAGUGAGACAUCUUUAACUGAUAUACUAUUGGGAUCUUAUACCUGGCUUGUGUGGGAUCGGAGUCUUUUGAGUCUGUGCAUCUGUUGGUAUUUGUGUAAGAGUUCACUGCUUCACCAACUUGCAGAACUCAGGGUUCACCCCCAAACCCCGUAUAUAUAAAAUACACAUAUAAAAUGAAGAACCUUCUUCUGUACUGGUGCAAAUGCUGUAAUAAAAACAUUUUUUCUACUGAUACGAGAAAUGACUACAGAAC